UCUGAAGACCACACAGAUUACACAAUACACUGGUCUAAACUUGGAGUCUGGCUCUGGCUCUGGGGCAGGGAGGAGGUUGUGUAGCCCUGAUUAUGAAUCCUCAGGGUUACCUGUGUUCCAAGAAUGCCAAGGUGGAGGUGCUCAACAACUUUUUUCACAGCUGUUCUUCAAGUGAAGCAUCUUAUUCUGAGUUUAAGUAUUUUCUUCUGAGUUAAACUAAAUCAGCCACUAAAUAAAUGCCACAGUUCCAAUUGA